rnacentral:rRNA from 1 species
UACAGGGGGCGCAAACGUUGUUCGGAAUCACUGGGCAUAAAGCGCACGUAGGCGGUCGUCUAAGUCGAGUGUGAAAGCCCCCGGCUCAACCGGGGAAUUGCACUCGAUACUGGAUGACUUGAGGAUGGUAGGGGUGAGUGGAACUCCAGGUGGAGCGGUGAAAUGCGUAGAUAUCUGGAGGAACACCGGUGGCGAAAGCGACUCACUGGACCAUCACUGACGCUGAGGUGCGAAAGCUAGGGGAGCAAACGGG